UACGUAGGGGGCUAGCGUUGUCCGGAUUUAUUGGGCGUAAAGAGCGUGUAGGCGGCCAGGUAGGUCUGCUGUGAAAACUCGAGGCUUAACCUCGAGACGUCGAUGGAAACCGUAUGGCUAGAGUCCGGAAGAGGAGAGUGGAAUUCCAGGUGUAGCGGUGAAAUGCGUAGAUAUCUGGAGGAACACCGGUGGCGAAGGCGGCAUUCUGGACCGAAACUGACGCUGAGGCGCGAAAGCUAGGGGAGCAAACGGGG
rnacentral:rRNA from 1 species